GAUGAACGCUGGCGGCGUGCCUAAUACAUGCAAGUCGAACGAGGUGCUUUUGUAGCAAUACGAGAGUAUCCUAGUGGCGAACGGGUGAGUAACGCGUUGGUGACCUACCCAAAGUGUGGGAUAACAGUCCGAAAGGAUUGCUAAUACCGCAUGUGGUCUUCGGAUUUAGAAACUGAUGACUAAAGGAGCAAUUCGCUUUGGGAGGGACCUGCGUCCCAUCAGCUAGUUGGUGAGGUAAUGGCUCACCAAGGCUACGACGGGUAGGGACCUGAGAGGUGACCCCCCACAAUGGAACUGAAACACGGUCCAUACACCUACGGGUGGCAGCAGUAGGGAAUAUUGCACAAUGGGCGAAAG
rnacentral:rRNA from 1 species